GGUCGCAUAGCUCAGUUUGCGAGAGCGUCUUACUAAUGAUGUAAAGACUGUGGGUUCAAAUCCCCCGAGAUCA